rnacentral:rRNA from 4 species
AAAUUGAAGAGUUUGAUCAUGGCUCAGAUUGAACGCUGGCGGCAGGCCUAACACAUGCAAGUCGAACGGUAACAGGAAGCAGCUUGCUGCUUUGCUGACGAGUGGCGGACGGGUGAGUAAUGUCUGGGAAACUGCCUGAUGGAGGGGGAUAACUACUGGAAACGGUGGCUAAUACCGCAUAACGUCGCAAGACCAAAGAGGGGGACCUUCGGGCCUCUUGCCAUCAGAUGUGCCCAGAUGGGAUUAGCUUGUUGGUGAGGUAACGGCUCACCAAGGCGACGAUCCCUAGCUGGUCUGAGAGGAUGACCAGCCACACUGGAACUGAGACACGGUCCAGACUCCUACGGGAGGCAGCAGUGGGGAAUAUUGCACAAUGGGCGCAAGCCUGAUGCAGCCAUGCCGCGUGUAUGAAGAAGGCCUUCGGGUUGUAAAGUACUUUCAGCGGGGAGGAAGGUGUUGUGGUUAAUAACCGCAGCAAUUGACGUUACCCGCAGAAGAAGCACCGGCUAACUCCGUGCCAGCAGCCGCGGUAAUACGGAGGGUGCAAGCGUUAAUCGGAAUUACUGGGCGUAAAGCGCACGCAGGCGGUCUGUCAAGUCGGAUGUGAAAUCCCCGGGCUCAACCUGGGAACUGCAUUCGAAACUGGCAGGCUUGAGUCUUGUAGAGGGGGGUAGAAUUCCAGGUGUAGCGGUGAAAUGCGUAGAGAUCUGGAGGAAUACCGGUGGCGAAGGCGGCCCCCUGGACAAAGACUGACGCUCAGGUGCGAAAGCGUGGGGAGCAAACAGGAUUAGAUACCCUGGUAGUCCACGCCGUAAACGAUGUCUACUUGGAGGUUGUGCCCUUGAGGCGUGGCUUCCGGAGCUAACGCGUUAAGUAGACCGCCUGGGGAGUACGGCCGCAAGGUUAAAACUCAAAUGAAUUGACGGGGGCCCGCACAAGCGGUGGAGCAUGUGGUUUAAUUCGAUGCAACGCGAAGAACCUUACCUGGUCUUGACAUCCACAGAAGAAUCCAGAGAUGGAUUUGUGCCUUCGGGAACUGUGAGACAGGUGCUGCAUGGCUGUCGUCAGCUCGUGUUGUGAAAUGUUGGGUUAAGUCCCGCAACGAGCGCAACCCUUAUCCUUUGUUGCCAGCGGUUAGGCCGGGAACUCAAAGGAGACUGCCAGUGAUAAACUGGAGGAAGGUGGGGAUGACGUCAAGUCAUCAUGGCCCUUACGACCAGGGCUACACACGUGCUACAAUGGCGCAUACAAAGAGAAGCGACCUCGCGAGAGCAAGCGGACCUCAUAAAGUGCGUCGUAGUCCGGAUUGGAGUCUGCAACUCGACUCCAUGAAGUCGGAAUCGCUAGUAAUCGUGGAUCAGAAUGCCACGGUGAAUACGUUCCCGGGCCUUGUACACACCGCCCGUCACACCAUGGGAGUGGGUUGCAAAAGAAGUAGGUAGCUUAACCUUCGGGAGGGCGCUUACCACUUUGUGAUUCAUGACUGGGGUGAAGUCGUAACAAGGUAACCGUAGGGGAACCUGC